rnacentral:rRNA from 1 species
AAUGAACGUUGGCGGCGUGGAUUAGGCAUGCAAGUCGAACGAAUCCCCAGGGGCUUGCUCCUGGGGGGAAGUGGCGAAAGGGGCAGUAAGGCAUAGGUAACCUACCCCGCGGCCGGGCAUAGCCGUCCUAACGGACGGGUAAUUCCCGAUAGCCUCGUCGUGCGGCAUCGCGUGGCGAGUAAAGAAUUUCACCGUGGGAGGGGCCUAUGUAGUAUUAGCUAGUUGGUGGGGUAACGGCCCACCAAGGCGAAGAUGCCUAGCGGGUGUGAGAGCACGACCCGCGCCACUGGCACUGUGACACUGGCCAGACACCUACGGGUGGCUGCAGUCGAGGAUCUUCGGCAAUGGGCGAAAGCCUGACCGAGCGACGCCGCGUGUGCGACGAAGGCCUUCGGGUUGUAAAGCACUUUGGUGGGGGAGAAAGCCGCAAGGUUGAUCGAUCCCAAGAACAAGCACGGGCUAAGUUCGUGCCAGCAGCCGCAGUAAAAC